UGUCGUAGGUUAACACUUUGCGACCCUUCGAAGCAAUUCGGAGUGCGAAAUCUGGCUCAUAUCGGUGGAACUUCUUAUUUUUAAUAAGAACAAUACCGAGGGAAGUCGACUUAAAUUUUAAGUUUGACCCCGUAACGACUGAUUUUGGUAUUUUUAAAUAUCAAAUGAUAUACAAGAUAAUACGCUUGUAUAACACGCCAGCUCCCGAUUUAAUCGGGAUGAAGGUAUAGUCUAAUUACAGUUACCUUUUAA
rnacentral:autocatalytically_spliced_intron from 4 species